GGCAAGAUGGCCGAGUGGUCUAAGGCGGUAGACUCAAGUGAUCCAAGCGACAUUUGUGCUGCAAUAGCAGUAUCCAUUCUACUCUCCAACAGGGGGCGCGAGUUCGAAUCUCGCUCUUGUCA
rfam:Aspergillus wentii DTO 134E9 unplaced genomic scaffold ASPWEscaffold_1, whole genome shotgun sequence.